rnacentral:lncRNA from 1 species
GAAGCCCUUAGCCCUGAAUCGACCCCCCGAACCUGACACUCAUUUUUCCUUAUUUUUUGUUCUGUUGAUUUGCCCUAUAUUCUGGUUGUUGCUUUAGUAAUUAGAUGGGCAUGAUUUGUGAUUUAUAUGGCAGUAUCCUACUUACGUUUUUGAUGUUGCUUUAAAGCAGUAUCCUGAUUAUGGCCGACUGAUUUGCCCUAUAUUCUAGUUGUUGAUCUUGUCAUUUCCAAUUUUGUAGGGUUUUUUGAGAUCCUUAUUAGCAAUUGGCAGAGCUUGGAUAUGCUGAAGCUAGUCCGUGUAGCCUUGGCGUAACAAUUUUUUUUUUACUUUUUGAGAUAUAUUUUGUUUUAUAAAAUUGGUUGAUGUCGUGUCUGAAUUUUGAGGGGGUGAUGCUAAAAUAAGAAUUGAACUUCUUUAAAUAGCUUAUCUUGCUGAUUCAAUAGCAGAUUUUCCAAGAAUUGUUAAAUAUAAUUUCAGUGACCCUUAAGUUGUUGGAUUAUGUAUUUUCACUAAGUUAUCGUCUUGCUGAUUUCCACGGUUCCUUUUUCAUUAUGUGUAUUUGAUGGAUGGAGAGAACAUGCUUGGUUCAGCAAGUGUAUUAGUUUGAGUUCUUAUUCCUGUUAGGGUUCUCACAUAAAAAAGAAAGGAAGAAUUGACAUCAAAUGAGUAGUAACUGCUGCAGAGAAAGCUUACCAAGAAAAAGCACUAGUAGGUGUAAUCAGAUCUCAUGUGUUCUCAAAAUCAAUAGGAGAUGCUUAAGCUGCUAGUUACUGAUAUGAAGCCACUUUCUGUUCGGGACAUGUGUCCACAAUGGAGCCACUUUCCAGGUAAUGUAGUCUUAGUUUGCUCUAUAUGAUUUUAAUGUAUCCAUGAUAUCUUACUAAUACCUUUUCUAACUCAUAGAUGUGGUUUAGGAUCGGAAAAUUGAUGUAGUGAGUUGUUAGGAUCUUCCUCUAGCUGCUCAAGGUGAUUUUCAGGCUCAGUUAACCUUUAAACAUCGAAUCAACACCAAGAAACCGAAAGGGACCAACCACUGGCAUGCUUUCUUCCUAUGGUUGCUAUUGCUCCUUUUGCUUGUUGUUUCCUCACUCACUUAGGAUGAAUACCACACAGGUAAGGGUCACAAAGACUCAAGCAAGAGGUAGAGAAGAUCAAUCAAUAGGAUGCACGAAGAAGAAGAAGGGACUGCCUCUCUCUCGGGUUCUAUCAAAACGGGACUCAUAGGAAGAAAGAGAGUUACCAAUAUAUAUAAUAGUCCAAUGACAAACUUAAGGUAAGUUAUACAUAUGGUAAGUGGGCUCGACUAGGGUUAUGGCUCAAUAGCACACCAACAAGCCACAAAGGUUAUUAGCCAUCCAAUAGGUAAAACAACGUUAGGUCGGGUCAUCCCAUUAUUCGGUGUUGAUUUAUCGUUCAGUCAUUCAUGUCGACUAAUAAAACUGAUUUUCAUCAUCGCCCGGGAGGUCGUUUGACAACAUGAUGUCUAACAUGAGUUCUUAAUGAUGUUGUAAAUCACCUACUCAGUGGUUCUAUGCCAACCUUGCUUUACAUGUCCGCUAAUGUAAAUCGAACACUCUCUUACAUCUCGCCAAUAAAUAUGAAAAGAUAUUAGAUCUGACAUCUGACCGUAAAAUUGCAGAAAACGUAAAUAAUAUAUGAUUUGAUUGAAAUUCAAACACAAGAACUUUUUUUUUUUUAUAUAUAUUGAUUCAAUGCUUCUCUUGCAGCUUUGUUGGCCGUCGUGAAUUGUGUGGCUAGCAAAUCGAAGAGUGCAUGAAGGACAAUAUGAUUGAGUAUGCCGUCCGAGUAUUAUCCGGAAGCUGGUAUUGCAAGCGUGGCAAUAAGCUCUUCAUGCCUAAGCUGUAUCAAAAUUUUAUUCCUAGUUUUGUUUCACUUUGAAGCUCCUUUGUAUUUAGGUGGUGUUGU